rnacentral:rRNA from 1 species
CUUAGUGGCGGACGGGUGAGUAACGCGUGGGUAACCUGCCCUGUACAGGGGGACAACAGUUAGAAAUGACUGCUAAUACCGCAUAAGCGCACAGGACCGCAUGGUCCGGUGUGAAAAACUCCGGUGGUGCAGGAUGGACCCGCGUCUGAUUAGGUAGUUGGCGGGGUAACGGCCCACCAAGCCGACGAUCAGUAGCCGACCUGAGAGGGUGACCGGCCACAUUGGGACUGAGACACGGCCCAAACUCCUACGGAAGGCAGCAG